UACAGAGGGUGCAAGCGUUAAUCGGAAUUACUGGGCGUAAAGCGCGCGUAGGCGGUUACGUAAGUUGGAUGUGAAAUCCCCGGGCUCAACCUGGGAAUUGCAUUCAAAACUGCGUGGCUAGAGUGUGGGAGAGGAAGGUAGAAUUCCAGGUGUAGCGGUGAAAUGCGUAGAUAUCUGGAGGAAUACCGAUGGCGAAGGCAGCCUACUGGCCUAACACUGACGCUGAGGUGCGGAAGCAUGGGGAGCAAACAGG
rnacentral:rRNA from 1 species